rnacentral:rRNA from 1 species
UACGGGGGGGGCAAGCGUUGUUCGGAAUUACUGGGCGUAAAGGGCUUGUAGGUGGCCAACUAAGUCAGACGUGAAAUCCCUCGGCUUAACCGGGGGAACUGCGUCUGAUACUGGAUGGCUUGAUGUGGGAGAGGGAUGCGGAAUUCCAGGUGUAGCGGUGAAAUGCGUAGAUAUCUGGAGGAACACCGGUGGCGAAGGCGGCAUCCUGGACCUUACUGACACUAAAAGCGAAAGCCAGGGGGAGCAAACGGG